rnacentral:tRNA from 1 species
CGGGAAGUGGCGCAGUUUGGCUAGCGCGCUUGAAUGGGGUUCAAGAGGUCGCGGGUUCAAGUCCCGCCUUCCCGA